GAGUUUGAUCAUGGCUCAGGAUGAACGCUGGCGGCGUGCCUAACACAUGCAAGUCGAACGGGGCAGCCAGAGCGGAAGGGGGAAGCUUGCUUUCCCCGGAAGAGCUGACAGCCAAGUGGCGGACGGGUGAGUAACGCAUGGGCAACCUGCCCCAUACCGGGGGAUAACACCUGGAAACAGGUGCUAAUACCGCAUAAGCGCACGAGGAGCGCAUGCUCCGGUGUGAAAAAUUCCGGUGGUAUGGGAUGGGCCCGCGUCUGAUUAGCUGGUUGGCGGGGUAACGGCCCACCAAGGCGACGAUCAGUAGCCGGCCUGAGAGGGUGGACGGCCACAUUGGGACUGAGACACGGCCCAAACUCCUACGGGAGGCAGCAGUGGGGAAUAUUGCACAAUGGGGGGAACCCUGAUGCAGCAACGCCGCGUGAGUGAAGAAGUAUUUCGGUACGUAAAGCUCUAUCAGCAGGGAAGAAGAAAGACGGUACCUGAGUAAGAAGCCCCGGCUAACUACGUGCCAGCAGCCGCGGUAAUACGUAGGGGGCAAGCGUUAUCCGGAAUUACUGGGUGUAAAGGGAGCGCAGACGGCGAUGCAAGUCUGGAGUGAAAGGCCGCGGCCCAACUGCGGGACUGCUCUGGAAACUGUAUGGCUGGAGUACAGGAGAGGUAAGCGGAAUUCCUAGUGUAGCGGUGAAAUGCGUAGAUAUUAGGAGGAACACCGGUGGCGAAGGCGGCUUACUGGACUGUAACUGACGUUGAGGCUCGAAAGCGUGGGGAGCAAACAGGAUUAGAUACCCUGGUAGUCCACGCCGUAAACGAUGAUUACUAGGUGUCGGGGGUCAAGAGACCUCCGGUGCCGCAGCCAACGCAGUAAGUAAUCCACCUGGGGAGUACGUUCGCAAGAAUGAAACUCAAAGGAAUUGACGGGGACCCGCACAAGCGGUGGAGCAUGUGGUUUAAUUCGAGGCAACGCGAAGAACCUUACCCGGCCUUGACAUCCCCAUGAAAGACGGGCAAUGCCGUCAGCCCUUCGGGGCAUGGGAGACAGGUGGUGCAUGGUUGUCGUCAGCUCGUGUCGUGAGAUGUUGGGUUAAGUCCCGCAACGAGCGCAACCCUUAUCAUCAGUAGCCAGCAGUAAGAUGGGGACUCUGGUGAGACUGCCGGGGAUAACCCGGAGGAAGGCGGGGAUGACGUCAAAUCAUCAUGCCCCUUAUGGCCGGGGCUACACACGUGCUACAAUGGCGUAAACAGAGGGAGGCGAACCUGCGAGGGGGAGCGAAUCCCAAAAAUAACGUCCCAGUUCGGAUUGCAGUCUGCAACUCGACUGCAUGAAGCCGGAAUCGCUAGUAAUCGCAGAUCAGAAUGCUGCGGUGAAUACGUUCCCGGGUCUUGUACACACCGCCCGUCACACCAUGGGAGCAGGUAAUGCCCGAAGUCGGUGACCCAACCCGAGAGGGAGGGAGCCGCCGAAGGCAGGACCCGUGACUGGGGUGAAGUCGUAACAAGGUA
rnacentral:rRNA from 1 species